rnacentral:rRNA from 1 species
UACAGAGGUCCCGAGCGUUGUUCGGAUUCACUGGGCGUAAAGCGCACGUAGGCGGUUUGUCAAGUUGGGGGUGUAAGCUCUGGGCCUAACCCAGAAAUUGCCUCCAAAACUAGCAUACUUGAGUAUUAGAGGGGAAGCUGGAAUUCACGGUGUAGCGGUGAAAUGACGUAGAUAUCGUGGAGAACACCCGUGGCGAAGGCGGGCUCUGGCUAAUUACUGACGCUGAGGUGCGAAAGCUGAGGGGAGCGAAC